rnacentral:rRNA from 1 species
CAGCAGUAGCCGCGGUAAUACAGAGGGUGCGAGCGUUAAUCGGAUUUACUGGGCGUAAAGCGUGCGUAGGCGGCUUCUUAAGUCGGAUGUGAAAUCCCUGAGCUUAACUUAGGAAUUGCAUUCGAUACUGGGAAGCUAGAGUAUGGGAGAGGAUGGUAGAAUUCCAGGUGUAGCGGUGAAAUGCGUAGAGAUCUGGAGGAAUACCGAUGGCGAAGGCAGCCAUCUGGCCUAAUACUGACGCUGAGGUACGAAAGCAUGGGGAGCAAACAGGAUUAGAUACCCCGGUAGUCCCUGUCUCUUAUAU